CCUGCAGGCCAGCAGCAGGGACGGACUCACCUCCCUGUGCCCUCUCCCAGCAGAUGACCUCAGCCCUCACAGUUGAAGAAGUUGGUAAGAAACUGACAAUUUGGUGUAGGAAAAUUUAAAAAACUGUCAGCAAGUUCACUGAAUAACAUUUGGAGGACUUCAUUAUGAAAAAGGGAUCAGGCCAUUCAUUCAUUCCUUAAGCAUUUAUGGCGUGCCCACCAGGUGCCCAAAGUGUGCUCCAAAGAGGCACAGGUGAGGCCACAGGAUCUGUCCUCAGAUCCGGAUUUCACAGCCCAGUGGAGGAAGUGAUGUCUAACAAGGCCUGCAGGCAUGCGGAGGGAGUGCCCGCUGGAACCCAGGGCCAGGACAGGGCCUGUGCAGAGGAGUCCACCUUCAGCAAGACGGACCACCAAUACUCUGCGACUUAGAGAAGGAGACUGAGGAAUAAAUGCCCAGACCGUACUCCGCUCCUGCCCUCCUGGUUUCCUGCCAGAGUCUCCCCUUGUCUGAAGCCAACCUGAAGACACCCCUUGAGGACCCCUUCACUGUACUGGGACCAUGGGGGGCUGAGCCUCUGGGAUCAGUCACCUCCCUAACCUCCUGCAUGAGGAACAACUUGACGAACACACAUUUCAACCUGUAACAGGGUGGACAAGCAGAACCCUUCUUCAGAAGCACAUUUAUGAAGUUCCCGCAGUAACUGGCUCAGAGAGAAAUGCUGCUGUAACAGCUGAGAGAAAACUGAUAACCCUGAAAAUAAAGUGUCCAUGGAAAUCUCA